UUGCACGUGACGUCACUCCCACUCCGCCAUGACAGACGUCAAAACAACCAAUGCUCUCCUUUAAAGCUAGUCAAACAUCUGUGACCUUUUUUUUCUUCUUUUUUUUUAGUUUAUUUGUUUUGUUUUGUAUGUGGGGUAAUAUACACAGUGUAACAUUCCGGUCAACACACCACUACUCUCCACUAGAUGGCGGUAAUGCACCUCAAUAGCUUGCUCGUCAACCACCAUAAAAUAGAAGAAGAAGAAAAAAAAAGACCAAAUAUCGCUUCUAUUUAGUUGAAUUCACUUUAAAAUGCUCGUAGUAUGCUGCGCGGUCGGCUUAACAAUCAGACAAGGAUGAAAAGAAAGCUUUGUAAAGAAACUCCUGUUUUCUCUGAAACUCCACCUUCAGGAAGUCAUCUCAACAGCUGAAUGGUUACAAUGGGAGGUUCAAGGAUUCCUCAACCAUGCACGAAAGAAUCAAGGCAAAUCUCCAGCUCUGCUCUGGCACCUUGCUCAUCAAAGCCUCUGCUCUGAAAAAUUCAUCAUUUUUUGACUGAUCAUAUUUCCUGUGGAGUCUCCUUUAGGGGAAAUAAGCCUGUGAGACACAAGACGGAGCUCAAGGUUCAUGUCUGCUGUUGCUGGGAGCCUCUUAACUCCUGACGCUGUGGUUCCAGAGCGAGUUUCCACACACUGAUGGCCCAGCGAUGCUU